rnacentral:rRNA from 1 species
UACGUAGGGACCGAGCGUUGUCCGGAAUCAUUGGGCGUAAAGAGCGUGUAGGCGGCCCUUUAAGUCUACCCGUGAAAUGCCGGAGCUCAACUCCGUGCACGCCGGGGGAUACUGGAGAGCUGGAGACGAGUAGAGGCAAGCGGAAUUCCGGGUGUAGCGGUGGAAUGCGUAGAGAUCCGGAAGAACACCGGAGGCGAAGGCGGCUUGCUGGGCUUGGUCUGACGCUGAGGCGCGAAAGCGUGGGGAGCGAACAGG